AUGGAGACAAAGUUUACAUGUUAACAAUAUUAUCGUUUUCGUGUCUACAAUGCUCCAAAAUCAAUAUAUUCGAUCGAAUCAUCCGAAGCAGUCUUAUAUUUCCUUGGAUGAUUUCUUUGGUGCACAGUG
ensembl:snoRNA snoRNA:Psi18S-640g snoRNA:Psi18S-640g